AGGACUGGUAGCAGGACCGAUGGCCAACUUUUGGAGUUUCCCACGGGUGUCUGGAACACUUCUGAGAUCUGAAAUACGGAUUCAGGAUCACUGUACUGCCCCGGGCCUCCAGGUCCCAAUUUGUGUAUCGCCUGAGGCAGUCCUG
rnacentral:pre_miRNA from 1 species